rnacentral:rRNA from 1 species
AUAUUGGCAUGGGCGAAACCUGAUCCAGCCAUGCCGCGUGUGUGAAGAAGGUCUUCGGAUUGUAAAGCACUUUAAGUUGGGAGGAAGGGCAUUAACCUAAUACGUUAGUGUUUUGACGUUACCGACAGAAUAAGCACCGGCUAACUCUGUGCCAGCAGCCGCGGUAAUACAGAGGGUGCAAGCGUUAAUCGGAAUUACUGGGCGUAAAGCGCGCGUAGGUGGUUUGUUAAGUUGGAUGUGAAAUCCCCGGGCUCAACCUGGGAACUGCAUUCAAAACUGACUGACUAGAGUAUGGUAGAGGGUGGUGGAAUUUCCUGUGUAGCGGUGAAAUGCGUAGAUAUAGGAAGGAACACCAGUG